UACGUAGGGUGCGAGCGUUAAUCGGAAUUACUGGGCGUAAAGCGUGCGCAGGCGGCUUGCCAAGUCAGAUGUGAAAGCCCCGGGCUCAACCCGGGAACUGCGUUUGAAACUGGCAGGCUAGAGUUUGGCAGAGGGGGGUGGAAUUCCACGUGUAGCAGUGAAAUGCGUAGAGAUGUGGAGGAACACCGAUGGCGAAGGCAGCCCCUGGGCCAAAACUGACGCUCAGGCACGAAAGCGUGGGGAGCAAACAGG
rnacentral:rRNA from 1 species